UUCAAACCCUCUCUAAUCUCAGAGACCUACCUCCAAGAAAGGUUAUGAGACUAUGUUACUUUGGGGGAAAAAUUUUGCUUACUUUUUAAAGUAGUGAAAAUGAAGCACAGACAAAGACUGUGACAAAUCACACAAAACAGGAAAUUCAAAGUUAUGUCUGACUCCCACAGGUUCCCUUUGAUGCAGCCAGGUCACUUGGUGAAUCAGAAAAAGUGUCACUCCUGUAUUUGCCAUUUUAUGCCUUUAAUUCUCAUUUUUAUUUGCUUUACUAGUAUGCCCACAAAACUAUUGACGCACUUUCCCGACAGGUUUAGAAGUCAGAAAGCCAUACCCCACCUUCCCCUUUGAAAGGCUCCUGCCACACAAAGCUUUACGGACCCCUCACCAGAUCCCUCCUUUGGGGAUGCCCCUGCAAAGGUUCGCUCACACACACAUCUCUUCUGACAUCUUAUUUUUAAUGUUGUUUCCUGAUGCAAAGAAACAACACAUUUUGAGAAAAAUUGUCUGCCUCAUGGAGAAAUCCUCAGACCAUUGUCAGAAAAACGUCAUAUUUGUUUCUAAUGCAUUGUGAACACAACAGAUCCCCCCUUUCCCCUUUUUUCCCUUUCCCUCUAGUGAGGCCAUAGAGGAAUAUCCACGCAAAGAACUUUGCAGAAAACCUCAGUCAUGCUCCCCUGCUCGUUCUGAGUUCACAUCCCUCGCUGUGCUUUCUCCUCCCUCCCAGAGGAAUCAGACCACACCUUACCACACCUCCCGCCCCUCCCAGGGCCAGCCUGAGCCAGAAGAGCUCUCCAGUCUAGACUUCUAUCUGACAACACAAACACAAUGAAGAAUGUGGUAUGAGGAGCGGCAACCCGCAGCUGGGACUUCUGUUGCAAAGAUCCUACUGCUGUGGCACACUAUUAGUGAGUUAUCAGAUUUCUUGGUAAAGAAGUAUCUCUCUCAACAAAGCAGCAUCUCCUUUGUCUGCCAAAGGGUGCCAUAAAAGUUUUCUAAGAAACAGAGGAAACCUGAUAAUUCUUAUACAUGGAGAGAUACACUGCUUCUGAUGAAGUGCUCAAAGGUUCUCAGCUGGCAUGCAUGAAGAAAGAGGCUCCUGGGAAGCAUGGGUAAAUUUCUUUUCUCAUGAGUGAACACUAUGACCUAAAAAAAUAAUUGCUUUGCCUACAGCAUUGAAUGGGUUUUUAAACAAGGAAGUACAUUUAUUCUUAUUUCUGUUAACUUUUGUGUACGGGACAUGAACGGACAAAGUGAGGAUAACUCAUAACUCUGUGGACAUGUUUUUUUCUGUGCAAUAUGCAGGUAAUAACUACUGCCCCACAGUGUGGAUAGGAUUUAUCUGUUAGGAUUUAUAAGGCAGAAUUCACUUCACAAGCGUAAAACACCAUAUAUGAUAUAAGUACUUCAUAAUUCUAACGUUUUCUCUACACGGCCUUUCAGGUGCAAACACUCCUCUCCAGUGUUCGUGUUGAUGACUCUUAAUAAGACAUCUGUAGCAUCAAAAGGGAUCUGUCCAAGGCUUGCUAAUCUCACCACUUACUACUUGUAGCUGAAUACCAAUCCUAGACUAGCAACGUGAGCUUCCAGGUGUGAAAGAAGUGGUGACAAGCGAGAACUGCAGGUGUUGACAGAGCGUGCAAGCCAAUAUGUGAUAAGCGGGAACCAGUGUGAACUUUGGUUUCAAAGACUAACACACAUUCUGCAAAGGCAGCAUUUACAGCCCUUGACAGGAAUUAGAGGUUGUUUUGCAGCACCCACAGAAUAACCUUCUGCUAUUGCUCUACAAAGGGUAGAGCUCUCAGCUUUUGCAAAGCAGUUUGCUGUAGGUGCUUCUUUGUGGGCUCACCCCUGCUGUGCUGGGGCUCUUGUUGGCAGGGAGCUAUGCUGUUCAGAGCAUGCUGCUGCUGCUGGGGGCUUUCUGCCUCCUUCUGCCUCCUUCUGCAGCAGCCAGCCAUUUCUGGCCUUCACCUGCACCAUCAGGAGAUGGGCCCCACGUUGUAAAGUCUGAAUCUAGACCCAAACACAUUUUUCUUCAGAAUUCACAGGAGAUCUUAUCCUAGGUUUGGGCUUGCUCCUUUC